rnacentral:rRNA from 1 species
UACAGAGGGUGCGAGCGUUAAUCGGAAUUACUGGGCGUAAAGAGCGCGCAGGCGGUCGUUCAAGUCGAGUGUGAAAGCCCCCGGCUCAACUGGGGAGGGUCACUCGAUACUGAUCGACUCGAAGGCAGGAGAGGGAAGUGGAAUUCCCGGUGUAGUGGUGAAAUGCGUAGAUAUCGGGAGGAACACCAGUGGCGAAGGCGACUUCCUGGCCUGUUCUUGACGCUGAGGCGCGAAAGCGUGGGGAGCAAACAGG